rnacentral:misc_RNA from 1 species
UAAUAAGUGUUUAUGGCACUUUUUAAAUCCAUAUCCACCUUGUGUGCAAUGUCAGUCGAUCUUCUUCAUGGAGAUCGACCAAACAUCAACCUUUAUCUUUUAACUCUUUGUCUGAAAAAUAUUAUGAAUAAACAAUUCAAAUA